rnacentral:misc_RNA from 1 species
GAUGAAGAACGCAGCGAAAUGCGAUAAGUAAUGUGAAUUGCAGAAUUCAGUGAAUCAUCGAAUCUUUGAACGCACAUUGCGCCCGCCAGUAUUCUGGCGGGCAUGCCUGUUCGAGCGUCAUUUCAACCAUCAAGCCCCCGGCUUGUGUUGGGGACCUGCGGCUGCCGCAGGCCCUGAAAAGCAGUGGCGGGCUCGCUGUCACACCGAGCGUAGUAGCAUACAUCUCGCUCUGGGCGUGCUGCUGGUUCCGGCCGUUAAACCACCUUCAUAACCCAAGGUUGACCUCGGAUCAGGUAGGAAGACCCGCUGAACUUAAGCAUAUCAAUAAGCGGAGGA